rnacentral:rRNA from 1 species
GUACACUCCUGCGGGAGGCAGCAGUGGGGAAUAUUGCACAAUGGGCGCAAGCCUGAUGCAGCCAUGCCGCGUGUAUGAAGAAGGCCUUCGGGUUGUAAAGUACUUUCAGCGGGGAGGAAGGCGAUAAGGUUAAUAACCUUGUCGAUUGACGUUACCCGCAGAAGAAGCACCGGCUAACUCCGUGCCAGCAGCCGCGGUAAUACGGAGGGUGCAAGCGUUAAUCGGAAUUACUGGGCGUAAAGCGCACGCAGGCGGUCUGUCAAGUCGGAUGUGAAAUCCCCGGGCUCAACCUGGGAACUGCAUUCGAAACUGGCAGGCUAGAGUCUUGUAGAGGGGGGUAGAAUUCCAGGUGUAGCGGUGAAAUGCGUAGAGAUCUGGAGGAAUACCGGUGGCGAAGGCGGCCCCCUGGACAAAGACUGACGCUCAGGUGCGAAAGCGUGGGGAGCAAACAGGAUUAGAUACCCCAGUAGUCCCAU